GAUGAACGCUGGCGGCGUGCUUAACACAUGCAAGUCGAACGGAAAGGCUCCUGCUUUCAGGGGUACUCGAGUGGCGAACGGGUGAGUAACACGUGGGUGAUCUGCCCUUCACUUCGGGAUAAGCCUGGGAAACUGGGUCUAAUACCGGAUAGGACGAUGUUUUGGAUGCCAUUGUGGAAAGUUUUUUCGGUGUGGGAUGAGCUCGCGGCCUAUCAGCUUGUUGGUGGGGUAAUGGCCUACCAAGGCGUCGACGGGUAGCCGGCCUGAGAGGGUGUACGGCCACAUUGGGACUGAGAUACGGCCCAGACUCCUACGGGAGGCAGCAGUGGGGAAUAUUGCACAAUGGGCGGAAGCCUGAUGCAGCGACGCCGCGUGGGGGAUGACGGCCUUCGGGUUGUAAACUCCUUUCGCUAGGGACGAAGCGCAAGUGACGGUACCUGGAGAAGAAGCACCGGCUAACUACGUG
rnacentral:rRNA from 1 species